UUCAUGACUCACUCACUUAUCAGCUUACAACUUAAAGGUUUUGUUUCUCCCAUUCUUUUGCUACCACUUCAUCAUUUUCACUUUUUCUUCUCAAUGUUACCUAGACAUUUGGAAACAACAAACAAUCUAACACAAGAAUCACUAAAAAAAAUUCAAACACAAGUUCGUUCCAUUUCCAAUUGUAGGAGACUAUGGGAGAAAAGGCUUGCAUAAAUUAAAAGAAAAAAUGUUGUUGCAAUGCGGAAUAUAGGACAACAUAAAUAUGUUUGUUGUUGAUAUUGAAAAAGAGUGACUGGUAGAGAAAGUUGUAAGGGAGACCAGCGUUUUUUAUGUGAGAGAGAUAUAUGCGCCAUGUGAACUAUUUCUCAAAGAAUGAGAGAGUGGAUAUUGAGCUCGAA